rnacentral:snoRNA from 1 species
UUUACAUGAUGAAUACCUAUAUGUUACCUUUUUUUCUGGCAUCUCUAAUGUUAGAAUGCGAAGUUUAAGUACUAUCCAUUCGAUGAAUACACUCAUUGACAAAUAUCUGACA